GGUCUGGCACUAUCCAUACAUAAUUAAGGACUAUACGAACCAGAAAAAGGAACCAUGCGAAACAGUUCUGUUCUGUUGAACAAGCUAAUGGAUCCAAUGUUAAUGACUUGCGGCAGUACAUGUACUUGUCACUAUUAGUACUAGAAAGUUAAGGGUCCUUUGUCCAUGUCAAUGUGACGAGCUGCAUUACGUAUUUAUAGUCACUUCGUGCACCAUGAGAAGUCUUUAACGUGGCAAGGCGAUGGAAUAGUCGGGUCUUAACAGAAACACACAAUACAGCGAGAGGUCAACCAGUGAGAUUGUGACGUAAUCCAUACAUAGAUGCUAUGAAAUAAAGAGAUCUCAACUGUAAAAUUGAAUUUGUGAUAAUGAAGCUGCUUGUUCGGGAUAAGUACGUAUGAACAAAGAUGCCCAGGACUCUUUUAUAACAUUGGUAAUCUUACGGUUAUGUAAAGUGAUAUUGUUGAGUUAAGGAAUAGUGACACCCACACUCAACCACGGAAACUUCACCAAUUGCAUGAAAAUGAGACGUAAAAGCGAUGUGUGGAUGAUUAUAUAAACAUGCUUUACGCGACAGUGAUAACUGAGUAUUUGUUGUAAACUAUAUGAUGCAAUUUGAAUGUUGCAUUUGAUCUGGACGUGCGGCAUUUAUAUAAAUCCCUGAAUUGAACUACAUCCAGCAGAUAUGGAUAUCGAAAGUCUGUUGAAUGUUUGGCAUAUAGUUGUAUUUUCUAUCGCAUUAUGUGUCAUAAAUAUUUCCGAUGUCUGGGCAUGGAAUUCCUGCUGCAAAAAUGGAACGCUGGUCGCUCUCAUUCUGUUUUCUGGUUUCUGCUUAUUAGUUUAUUCCGUUGGUGUUCUUUUCGUAACAAAAGGAGCCAUCGAUGGCUGUGUCGACUUCUACCCAGCAAUGCUCAUCACUGUCAAUGGAGCGCUUGCAGCUACCGUUUGGUAUUUACUAGAUAAUAACAUUGAAACCAAACCGUUAUGGUGCAAAGUAGCAGCACUUUGCUACGUCAUAAUAACAGUGGCGUCGUUGAUAUAUCUGAACUCUGACAGCGAUGGAGUGGAACAGAAAAUCCAGCUUGAAAGUGUGCUUAUAUCCUCUGCGUUUUGCCAUUAUGAUUCAAAGAAAAUAAUAUUACCCAUUCUCCUAGAAACCGUCAGUCUGUAUGUUCCAGUCUUUGGAUUGUUUCGUUAUAUUUUCUGGAGACUGAAGAAGCUGAAACCGGACAUUCAAAAGUCAGACAUCAAAGUUAUAUCCACGUGUGCUGACUUGGAAGGCGACAGGAAAUAUUGUGAUGUGUGUGCCAAGAUUAACACGGAAAUCGUUGUGAUGCUUCAAGCAUACGGAAUAAUAUUUCUAUUGCUGAGACCUGCCCUUCACCUGUAUAACUACGUCGUGGGCAGUCGGAGUACAGACGCCAUCCCUAUCAUUAUUCAUAUGGGCGGAUGCUUGUUGCUUUCCGUUAUAAAUCUGCAUCACCAUGUCAACGGGAAAACCCCGAAGGAAUCAAAGGAAAUACCGAUGCAAAUUAUUUAAUAUCUAUGAAACUCCCUAGUAAAGGAGGUGUAUUGAUGUAUUUGUUUCGAAUUACUUGGGAUUUAUAAUCUCAUUCCCCAAAUGCUGGGCUUUAAGCAGGAAAAGCAUUUCUCGGCCAGUCGACAGAUCGCAAAGCCUUCUUCACAGUGGCGAAUGUUUAUAUCUUAAUAGACUACAAUGGGAAGUUAUCUUAGGGAUUUCAGAACUUUUUCACACACGAUAAAAAGUGCAAUAUUUUACUCAAAUGUUAUGUUUUAAUCUCUUAUUCUAAAUGGGUUUUUUUAGUCCGUCCAUUUUGGCAUACACAAUCUCUAACAUGUAACUAUCAUCAUGUUUACAAUUGAAACUUGUUUUGAAGGAUUAAUAUUCGAAAUCUCCUCUCAAAACUAAAAAAAACUGCGCUUCAUUCAAUGAACGUUUUCUUAUGUAGAAUCCAAAAAGGUAACAUACGCAUUACUUUUUUAUGUUACUAUGCCUUUUCCUUUCUACCAUCACCUCAUACGGCUCCGAGUUCGACGAAAUACAGGGGUCGUCUCAAAAACCUUGCAUCAAAAACACUCCUCAAUUAUACUCCAGUUGAUUUUAAAUUUGAGUCUUUCGAUUUCUGAGCUGUUUAUGUGAAGUCAGCAAGAACGUAAUGUUUCCAUAGUAAGCCCAGGCACAGACAGGUAUAUUGGAAUGAAUACUUGUAGCUAUACCCGUCAGACGUUCAUAAUCUGAAAGUUUCUGGUUGAAGUAAAUUUGACUACAUGUGUAUAAGAAAUUAUUCGUUUUAUAAAUACAAUGUUGUUUGUCUUAUAUCUAUUUGUAACUUAUUAUUAUAUGUAUUCGCCUGAAUGAGUGUGUGCAAUUAUUCGUAUCGCAAGCUUGUGUAAUGUAAUACCUGAGGCGUGUUCAGUGAAGUGUAUCUGGUCGGUUAGUUAGCUUAGUGUGUGCAGUAACCCGUAACGUGAGCGAGGCGUGCGUGUGUGUAUUUGUUGUUCUCAUGGGAAUGAGAUCAUAACUGGUUAUUCAGGUAGUGUGAUCAGAAUAUAAGCGCGUGCAUUAUAGAUACCCGUCUCUUCUAACCGCUGCUAAAACCGCUUGAAAAGGUACAGCAUUUAACCAUAUUUUGUGACCAGAUUGAUGUCGGAGGAACUACUGCAGCUUGCCGUGUGCUAGGGUGUAGCUAGGAUCAUUGUGAUUGUGGUCGCUUGAUUGCAGCGUUGGGUGCAGGGCGUGGAAUAAGCGCAUGGAUAAUGAACGCAAAGUAUAUAUAUGACAGAAAGCGUCGCUACUCCGGCGCCAACGAAUGCAGCAGUCCCGCUGACAUCGAGCGAGCAGGUGAACUGCAAAGUACUAGAGGAGCUCUGUUGCACCGAUUACAUUCCCUGUGUAUGGAUCAGAUACAUGUAUUACCAGAGUUGACUGAAGACUACAAAUUAUCUACAUCAGCCAGGUCCAACAGUCUCUAGACGUGUUAACCCUUGUCCUGGAAAGUCCUCGUGAUGGUGGGUCGACAUUGGCGAUCAACUCACUGACCGUCAAUGGAUGGUUUCCAGUAUUUCUAGUCUUGUGUCUCGGCAACUUCUGAUAAGUCUGCGCACCGCCGUCUAGAGUGCCUUUCAUACCACAACCGCACCCAAGACAUUGUCUUUCCAGACUGAGCGUGAUGGAAUCCUCUACACGAAACAAUUAAGCACGCCAUCCCCCUUCCUCUGUGAAGCUCUCAUUUUCAUCUAUUUUGAUUAGUUAUACUAGGUUUAUUUGACAACAGUGGAAGGACUAGAAAGAUAUACCAGGAGCUACCUGCGGAGGGUUACUGUGAAUGGAGCUUAUCGUAGAGUAACCAUUGGUUAGCGAAGAUGCCUGCGGAGGUGGCUUGGAGUUCCGCUCAGUUUCGAAAGUAUUGGACUCUGUACCAGUUUUUACGCAGUUUUUUUUAGUUUUGAGAGGAGAUUUCGAAUAUUAAUCCUUCAAAACAAGUUUCAAUUGUAAACAUGUUGAUAGUAACACGUUAGAGAUUGUGUAUGCCAAACUGGACGGAUUAAAAAAACAUUUAGAAUAAGAGAUUAAAACAUAACAUUUGAGUAAAAUAUUGCACUUUUUAUCGUGUGUGAAAAAGUUCUGAAAUCCCUAAGAUAACUUAACCAUCAUUAGUAGAGGAGUUCAGAGUAACAAAAGCCAGACUGGUGAGGACGCUGCUUGGUCAUGUGUGGUGGUAGUCACGGUCAGGUCAUCUAUAAAACCUCGAUUCGACUUUUGGUAGAUUCCUGAUUCUGUCAGAUUCCCUCAGCCGUACUCGGCCUCUCUAAUUAGCUGGCUUAGUGAAGUCUCCAUCCCAUUCUCUCGCCUUUGCAGGAAUGUUUCUAAACAACUUGCUGUUUUAAAAAGACCGGGAAUAAUCUUACCAAGAAAGGGAAAAUUGCAAAUUUAAGUCUUUCAUAUUAUCAAAUUUUAAUUAUUGUCCGCUUACCUGGCACUUUUGUACUCUUACAAACACUAGGAAAAUGGAGAUAGUACAGGAGCGUGCUCUUCGUUUUAUUGAAAAUGACUAUGUUUCCUCAGUUACUGAUAUUUAAAGAAGAUUCAAACUUGAUUUUUUAUAUGUGACGCGUAUCAAAUAUAUGGCCUCUGCGGUUUUUAAGAUUUUAAAUGGUAUAUCACCAUCUAUUUUACAAGGUCUUAUUGAGAAGAAAGAAGUUUUUUAACAGUCUUAGACAGGAUAAUAUGGUAAGGAUUCCAAAGGUGAACACCUCCACUUAUGGGAAGAGAUCUUUUCGGUUUGCUGCCUCCCAGGUGUGGAACAGCUUGCCGAAUCAGCUAAGAUUAGUUGAGAAUUACAAGUCUAUUCGGAGGCUGCUCUACACCUGGGAUACCGAGGUCUGUUCAUGUGCCAUGUACUCACGGUGCAGUGCGAGUCGUUCCCCCUUUGGCGUCCUUCGUCAACUUUCUUAAUUAAAUCACAGUGCAAUAUUUUUAGAUAAUAUACUUUUAUGUAAUAAACUUUAAAAUUUCAGCUUUAAUUUUUUCUGACCGACAGAUCUAUAGUAUCUUUUAAAACACACUAGAAUAUCUAUAUUAGUGUAUAUUAUGUCAAUUUUAUUAUGUGCUAUGCUAGAAUAUAUGUACAUUACACUUUGAUAGUGUUUUAAUUUAUUCUUUAUCAACGCUUGUGAGAGUUAAAAGAGUCCAUCAUUCAACUAUUAUUUUUUAGUAUAAAUAUGAAAUUGUGAUACAACUGUAUAUUCAAAUUUGUUACAAUUUAUGCAUGUACUGUGAUCAUGUUGAUUUUACUUAUGUUUGUCGUAAGAAUAGCACCACAGUGCUAAUGUUGUCUUGUAUAAUAUGCGACUUUAAAUAAAAUUGCUUGACUCUU